GAGUUUCUCAAUGUAUCUGCCAAGAAAUGCAGUGAGAUCGACACCUUUUUGGAUAGUCCCCAUGUAACAACUUAUCUGAAGACAAAUUGGUUUACUUAUGCGGAGCUGUGGGUAAACUUUGGCAGAACGUUCUAUCACUGUAGCAGUGAGACAAACAACAAGGCUGAAAGAUUCUUCCUUACGUUGAAAUACCAGUUUCUGCGAGGCCAGGCAAACUGAAGAGUCGACCAACUUCUGCUUUUGCUAUGUGGAGAUGUAGAAAAGUAUUACAGCUACAUGGAUGGCCUCAGCGAAGCAGGACGACUGACAUUAUCCAGCUCUGCUGCUCACCAGGCUGCUGCGCUGCUAUUUAAAAAUGGUGUGGGCAAAGAUUUGGACAUAGAAGCGGGGCAGUGCUUUGUGCCGUCACAGUCAACCAACACAGCCUACAAAGUUAACUUGUUACACUUCACAUGUGAAUGCACCAAUUUCCGGAUGGGAAACAUAUGCAAACAUCUUCUAUUGGUGAAGAUGGAGGUAGGCAGGAGAGGUAUUGACAUUGAAAAAACGCGGAAUAAUAAAGCGCUAGAAAUCAUCAGCCUCCGUCUCUAUCAGCAG